UACGGAGGGUGCAAGCGUUAUCCGGAUUUACUGGGUUUAAAGGGUGCGUAGGUGGGUCUGUAAGUCAGUGGUGAAAUCUCCGAGCUUAACUCGGAAACUGCCAUUGAUACUAUAGAUCUUGAAUUAUCUGGAGGUGAGCGGAAUAUGUCAUGUAGCGGUGAAAUGCUUAGAUAUGACAUAGAACACCAAUUGCGAAGGCAGCUCACUACGGAUUGAUUGACACUGAGGCACGAAAGCGUGGGGAUCA
rnacentral:rRNA from 1 species